rnacentral:rRNA from 1 species
AUUGAACGCUGGCGGCAGGCUUAACACAUGCAAGUCGAACGAGUGGCGGACGGGUGAGUAAUGGAUGGGAAUCUAGCUUAUGGAGGGAGAUAACUACGAGAAACUGUAGCUAAUACCGCGUACCGUAGGAUGAGCCCAAGGGGGAUGAGGUAGUUGGUGAGGUAAAGGCUCACCAAGCCGACGCUCUCUAGCUGGUCUGAGAGGAUGACCAGCCACACUGGGACUGAGACACGGCCCAGACUCCUACGGGAGGCAGCAGUGGGGAAGAUUGCGCAAUGGGGGCAACCUGACGCAGCCAUGCCGCGUGAAUGAAGAAGGCCUUCGGUUUGUAAAGCUCUUUUGGUAGCGAGGCGUUAACUACAGAAGAAGCACCGGCUAACUCCGUGCCAGCAGCCGCGGUAAUUC